rnacentral:rRNA from 1 species
GAGUUUGAUCCUGGCUCAGGAUGAACGCUGGCGGCGUGCCUAACACAUGCAAGUCGAGCGAUUCUCUUCGGAGAAGAGCGGCGGACGGGUGAGUAACGCGUGGGUAACCUGCCCUGUACACACGGAUAACAUACCGAAAGGUAUGCUAAUACGGGAUAACAUAAGAAAUUCGCAUGUUUUUCUUAUCAAAGCUCCGGCGGUACAGGAUGGACCCGCGUCUGAUUAGCUAGUUGGUGAGGUAACGGCUCACCAAGGCGACGAUCAGUAGCCGACCUGAGAGGGUGAUCGGCCACAUUGGAACUGAGACACGGUCCAAACUCCUACGGGAGGCAGCAGUGGGGAAUAUUGCACAAUGGGCGAAAGCCUGAUGCAGCAACGCCGCGUGAGCGAUGAAGGCCUUCGGGUCGUAAAGCUCUGUCCUCAAGGAAGAUAAUGACGGUACUUGAGGAGGAAGCCCCGGCUAACUACGUGCCAGCCGCCGCGGUAAUAC